rnacentral:rRNA from 1 species
GACGAACUGUGCAAACGUUAUUCGGAAUCACUGGGCUUGAAGAGUGCGUAGGCGGUUUCGUAAGUCGGGUGUGAAAGCCCCCAGCUCAACUGGGGAACUGCGUCCUAAACUGCGAGGCUGGAGUGAGGUAGGGGUGUGUGGAACUUCCGGUGGAGCGGUGAAAUGCGUAGAGAUCGGAAAGAACACCAACGGCGAAAGCACUCUGCUGGGCCGACACUGACACUGAGAGACGAAAGCUAGGGGAGCGAAUGGG